rnacentral:rRNA from 1 species
AUGAACGCUGGCGGCGUGCCUAAUCCAUGCAAGUCGAGCGAACAGACGAGGAGCUUGCUCCUCUGACGUUAGCGGCGGACGGGUGAGUAACACGUGGAUAACCUACCUAUAAGACUGGGAUAACUUCGGGAAACCGGAGCUAAUACCGGAUAAUAUAUUGAACCGCAUGGUUCAAUAGUGAAAGACGGUUUUGCUGUCACUUAUAGAUGGAUCCGCGCCGCAUUAGCUAGUUGGUAAGGUAACGGCUUACCAAGGCAACGAUGCGUAGCCGACCUGAGAGGGUGAUCGGCCACACUGGAACUGAGACACGGUCCAGACUCCUACGGGAGGCAGCAGUAGGGAAUCUUCCGCAAUGGGCGAGAGCCUGACGGAGCAACGCCGCGUGAGUGAUGAAGGUCUUCGGAUCGUAAAACUCUGUUAUUAGGGAAGAACAAAUGUGUAAGUAACUAUGCACGUCUUGACGGUACCUAAUCAGAAAGCCACGGCUAACUACGUG